rnacentral:rRNA from 1 species
CGGGACGGGUGAGUAACGCGUGGAUAACCUGCCUCACACUGGGGGAUAACAGUUAGAAAUGGCUGCUAAUACCGCAUAAGCGCGCAGUACCGCAUGGUACGGUGUGAAAAACCCAGGUGGUGUGAGAUGGAUCCGCGUCUGAUUAGCCAGUUGGCGGGGUAACGGCCCACCAAAGCGACGAUCAGUAGCCGACCUGAGAGGGUGACCGGCCACAUUGGGACUGAGACACGGCCCAA